ensembl:lncRNA
AGCUGCGUGUGGAUACAAAUGUUGGUGUUUCGUUUCCACGGAUCCCGUAAAAAGGAGGGUUUAUUCUGCCGCGUAAAGGGAGAUAAGACGAGUGCAGGGCGGCAGAAACAGGAGGCCGAUGCAGUGAAUGUGGAUCUCAGCAUCCCCCCCCCCUCCGUGCACGCACACCUUUGUGCUGGAGAUUUACCAGGGAGCCCGAUGUGACGUCAAAGCUGCGGGAGAAGGGAAAAGAAGCGCUAUCGCCAUGGAAACCCGUCUCCCUCAGUUUCCCCCGUGAUGUGAGAACACGAACGCGGUGUCAUUGCACAGACCUCGGCCUGUCACGUGAGGGAGGCGUGGUGGAAUGUUUCAGGACAGCAGCUGACUUUGUGUUUACCUCCAGUGACGGACGGCUCCAUGAAUUAGCCUUUUAUUGCCUGUUUAAAGUUGAACUCCGGACCAGUGCCAUUUAUAGACUUGUGAACGACUUCAAGGUAGACUUCUCGUUUAAAGAUCUGCAGACACACGCCCGUAGUUUAGCUGUGACGGUGCUGGAGACCCGGCCGAUGAUCAGUUUGUUUUUGCUUUGCUGCCGCUUGGUGUGUUUCUGUCGUCAGUGACUAACUACGUGAUUGUGUAGAGUUUAAGGUUGCUCAUCCGUCCUCUGGCCCGGCAGGAUGAAUGGACUUAGUCCAUGAAAGCACGUGUUCAUCCACCGUCCACAGACGUGAACAGCAGCACUGACCACCGUACGAAUCCUGGCUGUUGUCCAGAUGGAAGACCCUGGGACGAGGGACAAUCCCCAGGAAAUGAGGUCUGCACCAGGAGACCCUCAGCUGCCCCGAUGUGUGUAUAUUUUUAGAAUUGGCCCUUUUCUUUGAAGGGAAAUCGUCAUGGAGACACAACAUCAUAACAAGACCCAGAAUGGAACCAGAGGUUCCCAAAGCGCGGGCUAUUGAUAGCCCUCGCCGAGCGGGACGUAUCUGGGAUCAACCGCUGUACUUUCCUUCCUUCAACCCUUCACACGGGCCCCUGCAGUUCGCCGCGCGCUUUCGUCCGCAGCUUCAGGCGUCCGAGCUUCGUUCAAAACGUCCACCGGGUUUUUAUUGCACAGCAGCCGCCGCGUCUGUUCUCGGAAAUGUAAACUGCGUAUCGCUCCAACGCGGUGCGGUUUGUUUAGAGAGCGUCAUUAAUUGACAGCCCGGUCAGAGCGCGCUGUGUUUGUGUUUGAGCGGGAGAGGCAGAUAAAUGGCCCGCCGCCGGACCUGGAAACAAGCAGAAUGUCUCCGACACACGCGGGACAUUUUCCAUCUGGGGAGAGCGCGUCAAGGUGUUCGAUGGCGGCAUCGCUCCCGUCUUGUGGUGCAGGAUGACGUCGGCGUUCUUUGCGGUUAGUUUUUGUUUUGGUACAUUCGGCUGAAGGGCUGCAGAUAUCAAGACUGAGCUUCCUGUCCUUUACAGAAACUCCACGAGCAAUGAGCUCACGCUGCCAUACAUCAUAAAUAAGCAUUGAACAAGAGAUAAAACACUGACAGCAACGCUUCCUGAUGUUUGCGUGGUUUUUCUUAAAACAGAAACCAAACCCCGUUAACGCCCUUCACCUUGCUCACCGAUUGUACCCUGAUGGGAUUGUGAACAUUGUGUUGCGUUUGUGCACACAGAUUCCCCAGUAAUCCACACGUUUGCCCGUCAGGUCCUGUUUUGAAUACAGAGCUUCUGCAGGAUUUAGUGGACAUUCUGCUCCCGUCAAUCAGUUCAGCAGUUUGUUGUGUCACUUCAGUUCUGUGUUUAAAUGUCGCCGCUCGGCUCCGAGGCCCUCGAGUAAAUACAACAGUGCUCUUACAGGAGCUCAGGCUGUGCAGCAAUUCGUCUCAGACCCAGAUCGCACAUCUCAGAUCUGUUCACAGACUUUAUUUAAAGAGUUUUAUGAACGUCAUUCAUCACAUCCUCUGUGUAUCCAUUCUACACAUUUAAACAGCGACCAUUACGAUGCCUCUCUCUCUCUCUCUCCCUCAGUAACUUAAUGUCAGGUCUCAGAGGAUGCAAUCACGACUCCCCCACUCAGUAGAUGCAAUCACUCCAACGCGACUGAGAAGGUGUGGAGCUUGAGAAACGAGCGGGAGGAGAAGCGCGUACUUGAGCGGAUGACCGCGCUUCCUGUGAGUCCGCGUGUGAAGCAGCAGCGCUGUUGGUGUCACGACCGGGCGGAAGUUGCCCGUGCGCUGCGAGCGGGGCGCCGUGCACGCGCAACAACCCUGAACGUGUCAUCAGAUUUUCCAGGUGCAUCGCAAAAAAAAAAAAUGUCUGCUAUAUUUACAACGGAUGAAAUCCGUGAGCGUUAAAUCAAGAGGCAGUAAACGGUCCCUCGGAUGUGCUUUUAAAAGUGGCUCAUCAGUCCCCAUGAAGUGCUGUGAGCUGGAUGCAGUAAUUCACAGGGUGCACGAACGGAGCGUUUUAAUUAAAAACUGCUCAGAGGCUGCGACCCCGGGGGACAAAGUCUUCCCGUGUACUCGAUGCGCCAAAGUCAGUGGAAACCCGAAACGCGCAGGAAGCGCAUUUCGACGCCCAUCGUCUUCUGUUGUUGGGAGUCGUUACAGGAAGGAAGUAAAACCAGGAGUCUUUUUUCAUGGACGCGAUGACGUGAUGACGUGAUGUGAGACUUCAAAGAGGUGUCGCCUGGCAUGAUGAGCUGCAUUCUGUCAUUGUUGAAAGCAAUAAUGUCAAAUAGUUUUGACUUGUGUCCCUUUAAAACUAACUACUUAUCUGUCUGUGUGUGUGUGUGUGUGUGUGUGUGUGUAUACAGCCGAGUCUUUAAUGGAUACAUACUAUCACAUUGUUGAUGUGUACUGUUGUGUAUUUCAAUCAGGUAUAGAGCUACACUGAACACAAUGACAGACUCGUCUCCUCUAAAACAGAUCCAUGAUUAACGGGAGCUUUGCUCAAAGGAACGCGAACAUUCACUUUAGCUGAAGUUCCCCAGGAAAUCGUUCCAGCUCCACUCGGCCUUUUCACAGAAGAGCGUCUGCAGUGCUUCCACCUAGGAACCCGUCAGCCGGAAACAAACAUUUAGUUUGUCUUCUUUCACCAAUGCUGCUUAUUUCUUGGGGACGUUGGGGACGUUGGGGACGUUUCCGGUAGGGUUGUCCUGCCUUCUGUAAUUGCUCAUCAAGGGCUUGGACAGUGUGGCUGGUGCACCAAAGCAUGCUAAUCACAUUAGUGGGGAGCAGCACAUCACUGCGUUUACUCCCAGCAGCUGGAAAACCCUGGUGAUCAUCUGCGGAAAUGAAGGAAUAUAAUCCAGGGGCGCGAUCACGUGACCAUUCAGCGGGGGGUUCAGUAAUUGCCCACUCGGCCUUCCUUUCUUCCUCUCGCGACGCGGCUCGCGCUCGUCGGAUACUGCGACGCGCCGGAAAAAGUGAUUUAUCUUGAUGAACUCAAAGGGGACAUCGAAAGGUCAUGCACUUUUAGUGGUUAAGUUAUGUAAAGUGAGAGUAGUUGAUGUGGGAUGUGUGAGCAGACAUGUCGUUUCUUUUAAAACAAUUUGUUAUAGGAAUAUUGUUGUAGCAUUUUGCGAAAGAUGAUAACGUUCAUAUAGGAACGCGUAUUAAAAAACACGCUCCCUUCCCCCAUAAAACCACAAAAUUGCUGCGAGGAAAAAGGUCUUGGUGACAUUUCCGAGCCUGCCCCCCCCGACGUGCGCUCGUGCCACUGAUAAGAACCCACUGGCAUCCUCUUCUCACAUCAUUUUCACAUUUGGGGGAGCAAGCAGCUCCUGUCUUCAUAGCGUCUGGUGGGUGAGGUGAAUACAUGACUGCAGCACCGCUGAUGAGUCCGUCUUCAUCCCGACUAGCUUCUAUUGUUCCUCAUACGCGGAGCUCAAUCGUAUAUAUAUAUACUAUAUUACAUGUUUACAUGUAACGGAGGUUCAAUUGCGUUGUUGCGUUUUUCUGAAAUGGGCUAUGUGUUUAUUAAUCAUCAGAAUAGAAUGCCGCGGAAACAAAAUGGCCUCUAACUGCUGUCCGUCACGUCAAGAUGGAGAAAGCGUUUCGCAUUGGAAGUAAAACAAACACACAGCGGAGAACUGUGAAGAGGAAUCACUCCACGGGUCAAACAGAAGGGGGGUGAGCGGCAAACGGACCACCGAAAGCCCUGCUACGCUAAGCUAGCUGCUAGGCUACUUCUAUCUCAAUAUUUACCGUGAGUUAGUAGUUAGUUAAGUUUUGUGCUUAAAAUAACGUUAACAAUUAAACAACAGUGUCUAAAAUACACGUCUAAUUAUUACUCAACAAACAUUCAUUAUCAUAUUGAAUGUUCAUUAUAUUAAUGAAUUUCAAAAUGUGCGAGUAUGAAUUUGUUAAUUAGCUUUUUUCUAUUAUCUAUUUAUGAUCUAUUAAAAUAAAAAAAUAAAAAUGUUUUUUGAAAAAAAAAAGUCAAACAAUAUUUAGAAAAAAUGUUUUAAAAGAAAGUCUGAAUAUGUCAGCUGAAAAAAAAAACUUUGAUGUACUUGGUAAAAGGUUUUAUAGAAAAAAAGUCUGAAAAUGUUAGGUCAAAAAAUAUAAUAUCGAACAUAAAUGUCAGAACAUAAAUUUAUGUCAAAAAAGUAAAAAAAGACUAGGUUAAUAGAAAAAAAAGUAAAAACUUUCACAGGAAAAUCUUGACACCACAACGCAGUGGAAAAUUCUUCCUGCUCUAUUGAACACCAUUUCUAUCCUUGCUUUUAUACUUUUAAAUAUAUUUCAUGAUCACCUUAGCUUUUGACGUUUUAUUCAUUUUUAAAGGUUUUAUGGUUUCAACAUUAACAUAUGUAAAUUCCGGCAGCUUCAAUUGCGUGUUGAAUCCAUGACGACUGAGCACCACAGCUCGUCUCCGGUGAACAGUGGAGUGGCCCCGGUGACAUCGGAGAGGGAUUUACCAGGUAGGAUCAAAGCCGUCCUUGAUAUUACCGUCCUCUGCAUCGCGGCUCCCACUUCCGCCCACUGGAGUCCACCAUCUGGGAGGAUUUCAAGAGCCGGGGUGCUUGAGGUUAAGACAGAAUGAGCAUGGGAAAUAACUGCGUUGAAAAUAAAGCAUUACCACAUUUUUUUUUUGGCCAUAUUGUUUAUUGUUUAAUAAUAAGAUUGAAUGAUUAAAUGUAAGUAUUUUUUCCAUCGUGGGUCAAAAUGCUCUUAGGAUAUUAUUUGAACUACACGGCACAAAGUAUCAGUUUUACACCGUUUAUAAUUUCAGAAAUGUGAUUAUUAAGCGAAUAUAGCUUCAGAUAAGGUUGUAUUCACCGUCAUGGGUGAGAUCUCAGAACACAACCUCCAUAAAUUUAACUUUACAUCUUGCUGCCAUCACACUCACACCCCCGACGACAGAAUGUAAUACGUCUUGAAAUAAUUGGCCUUUAAAAAAGUCCUACACGAGGUGAAGUCGAUCAAUAAAUUGAUUUCCAGUGACGCGCUUUCUCCCUUUUUUGGCCACAAUUGUCAGGUCUGUUCAUCGCAUUAACAGAAGAGGAAAAUACGUUUGAAAAGGCAGCGGAUCGAACGGACCAUUAAAGCACGGACAAAGCCCCUGAGUGGGGCUCUGCAGGCCAGACCAGGACACCAGUGUUCAUAUCCCAAAACGUUACCCUUCGGUACAUGUUGUGCCACGUAGACCUCCCAGUCGGAAAACGAAACUGUGUUUUUAAAUAAGAAUUUCUGCGUAUUUUACUAGAUAUCCAGACGCUCGAGAGGCUGAGAAAUGAGGGCGACCCUCUUCAGAAUACAGAGCAGCGAUCAUCCAGCCGAUCCCUCCGUGUCGGCGUGGUACAGUGGACGCAGUGGGAGCUCAGACCGAUAGCUCGGCGCUAAUCACCCGUGUGCCUCUUCUCCCCAGAGGAUGUGCAGGCUGCUCAACGCUCAACAUAAAUCCCAUUAUGGGCUCGCUGUGAUGCAUCUGGAUUGGCUGCAUACAUUACAGCAAUGUUGUCCCUGGUUUCCGUUUACUUUAUGAUUGUUAAGACUUUCAUGGCAUCAAAGGCGAUUUAUUUAGGUCAGAAAAAGCCUAAAGGUCCGAAAUCGUUUUGCAGCAAAAUGCAUUUCAAUUCCAUACUUUAUUUACAGGAUUUCCGGGUUCUUUUCCUAAAUCCCACUGACACUUCGAGCACCUCUAAUAACCAAAAUGUCAGCCCAACGGAGCCUUUCCUUUCAGUAUCAAGGGGCUCCUCCGAUGUCUACAGGAUCUUCUUGUGCAGCUACUUAUUGACCAACCUCUUUAUUUAAACAAUGCACGUUGGUUUGGCUGUUUGUUCCGUGUCAGAAUUCUGCCACCGAAAUCUGAAGUUUAACUCGCAGUUCUGUUCGUUGUCCUGCUUUCCCUCCGGCGCUUGACUCUGAACUCGAGGGUCGGCCUCUGUCGAGCUCAACGACGGCUUGAUGGACUCACCUGCGUGGCCGAGCCCCUCUGAGUGCUCCCGCGCGCCUUUUCCCAGCAACGACCGCCGGGCCGACGGAACGAUUGAGCGCCGCGCAAAAGAAACAACCCGCUCUUUUUCGGUGAUUGACAUUGCCGGGCCGCUUAGCACGUUAUGAAUCGGCCAGAGCAGAGCGCCCCCCCCCCCCGUCGGUGAUCUUUUGCGUCAACUCUUCGAUUCAUGCGUUGCGGGAGAGGAAGGGAGCGCCCGACGAGCCGGGCUGGACGGACGGCGAGCUCGAUGACUGCCGCUGCUUUUACUUUCCCGUGUGCCGCUGAGCGUGAAGAGAUCACGUCACGUUAGAGAGAGAAGCAACAGAAUGGAAAAUAAGCGCGGCCUUGUUGUUGUUGUUGUUGUCCAUUUAUUUCUAGCCCCCACUUCCUGUCUGUGUGUGCAUGUGCAGCGUGGGUGGCGAUGUGUGUGUGUGUGUGUGUGUGUCGUUUGUCGUGCACAUGGAAACAAACUGUCACAAAAGAAAGAAAGAUUGUGAAACUUGACGUGACGUAUCGACAAUGCUGAUCCGCGACAACGAGGAGGAAGCGUGAAGUUCACAGGAAGUGAAACCACAGCGGAGCCCCUCGCAACAACCGCCGAGGUCACAGAGGAUCUCCAGCAGAAACGAACAAUAGCUGUCGCUUCUCAUCCUCGCAGCAGGUGUCACAUGGAGCCGACUUGUGACCUUCUGACCUUCAGCCAGAGUUACCCUCCAAACCGCCCCCCCCGAAGUCUCUCUUUCCCCCCCUGAGGGUGAAAGCAGCUCCUCCUCGCGUGGACGGUUAAACGCCAGCUGCGUCCGAGCCCACGCGGCGCGCGCCCACGGCCUUCAAACUGUCACACGGGGGGGACUUUACGUUUCUCGGUGAAAGUAAACGGUUCGCGGUGAAACUUUCCCUCUCGUCCCGCGGUCUCCUCCCUUCGCCGUGUUCUUGUCUCGUUCUCGGGGAACCUUUUAACUUCAAGAUCGACCGAGACCAACUAAUUCUUCUCCUCGUUGAAUUAUUCUGUCGAUCAUAACUUAAGGCAAUAAAGUAAAUGAUGUUUGUUUUUAUGGGACGGGUUGAGGAGUUAUUUUCACUUCCACGUUUAUGUCCUGCGAUAUAAAACACGGCGGUAAAACUUCUUCUUGUCCACCUUUGCAGCGUUGCAGCGUUGUACAGCGGCAUGUAGAUUAUCGACCAACUGUGACAUUCAUGAUAAAAAAAACUAAACCAUCAGAGUGGUGACGAUCGUCUAACUGAACACGUUUUUUCCGCAUUCAUCUAGAAGCUUCUUGUCGAGUGAGUCAAUCAAAUGCGACCUUUCAGUUCCUUUUAGCUGAACAUGUAAGUGGGCCAGAUUUAUAUAAAAUAACAAUACUCUUCCUUUUUUUUUUUUUGUUAAUGACAGUUUUAUGAAUAAAAAAACUGCAUUAAAUCUCGCAGCCGCCACUCUGAGUGACGUCAUCGUCUCUGACAUUCAACAGGAGCACCUCCUCGCCUCCUGUCACACACUGUGGAACAUCAAGGCGUCCGGAAGAUGGAGAUGUGAGAAUGAGGAGAGGGGUGUAGGGUGAUGUGGGGUGUGUGUGGGGGUGAUGUGA